CUGGGGUGGAAAGUCGGAGCUCAAAACUCUCGACGACUUCUGGGGUUUAUUAGACCACAUGAGACGACAACCAAUCCCCCACCCGACCUCUGCUGCCUCUGGCCUGCCCUCUACACAAGCUGGAUAUGCUUCUGACCAAAGAAAGCCCUUAAUCUGAGUGCCAGGUGCUUUCAGCAGGAAGCAUCAUUUGCCCCAGGUAGUGAGGGCCAGCAGACACAGGAACUCAGAGCAUCAGUGGGGGAGUUAUGAGGAGGUAAGCCCGUUAGAAGAAAUUCACUGGAAACGUCUUCAAACCACAUUUGGAGUGCGGGCUCGGACUCAGUCGCUCGGUCAUGUCCGACUCUUUGUGACCUCAUGGACUGUAGCCCGCCAGGCUCCUCCGUCCACGGGAUUUUCCUGGGAAGAAUCCUGCAGUGGGCUGCCAUGGCCUCCUCCAGUUGGGAUGUAUAGCUCUUUGAAUGCUGCAUCCCGCGGAGACAGCCAAACCCCGGCCAGGAUUUACUGGGUACAAGCAGCGGGAAAGGCAUGGUGUGAGGUCCGUGAAGGAACCAGGAAUAGACGGCAUUGUUCCUGAUUCAGAAGGAGCUUGCAAAUAGUGCGGUGGAACAAGACACAUACUUUGAGAUGGAUGACCACUGAAGGCUUUUGUGACACGAGGUCCAUCCACAUCGCUACAACUGACCCAGUUUCAUUCCUUUUUAUAGCUGAGUAAUGAAUAUAUACACACACCACAUCUUUAUCCAUUCAUCUGUUGAUGCUGCAAUAAAGACAAUUGAGACUUGCUCCUAUCAAACUGUGUGAAGAACCUGGACUUACAAGAACAGCUGUUUCCCCCCAGAGAAGUUCCACUUUAUGGGGAAACUUCUGUAGGAUAUCACCACUCACCUAUCCAGAUCCAAGCCCAGGAGUCCUAUCGCCCAUUCGUAACAUGGGAUUUCUCAGUCGCUGGUCUGUGAUUGACUCACAAGCAAGGAGGAUCCUGUUGUUCGUCCAUUCUCCCUGUGAUAGUUUGCAUCUGAUUAACUCCAAGUUCCCACGCCAUCGCUCAUUUUAUGCUUGAUAAAAGCCAAGGAUUAAGGAUGUGGAGUGACUUCCUAAAGGAUGAAAAGCUGGAGGCGAGUCACUGUAU
ensembl:lncRNA